CAAACUGGAAUGUAUACCAGCCCAAAUGAAGCCCAGGGGCUACUACCAUCUCCGCUUCCUCCACCGCCCGUGAGGGCAAAGGCGGCGACAGAGUCGAGAAACCGCGCCGGCGCGUCAGCGCCAUCCACCUCCGGCGACAUCCGCGGCCUCCGGCAGAGCUCGAGGCAUCCAGAAGUCCCACCAUGAUUGUCUAAAAGGUGGAUGCCAAUCACAGCGAAUCAGAGGUGUGGUAUCAGCCAUACAAGCUUCGAGCAUUCAAAAGAGAAACUCUUCUCUAGAGCAAUCUCCUGAACAAAAUCUCAAUACUGCUGAUCAACAAUAUCGGAUUCUGUUUUCAGUUGUUGCUCCUCGUCGCAUACAACUCUUUUCUUCUGAAAUGUCUUGGGUGACAAGAGACCACUUGGUAUAACUCAGCAUCGCAAUUUGCUUCAAUAUGAGCUGUGUGGAUGAUUCAAGCGUCGAGGCAACGGGCCUUGCUUGGCAACACUUUGACCACCCUGCAGCCAAUUUUCUUUGACUGUUUUUCGGCCUUCUUUGCCAGUAGAUGAAGGCUUGUCUUUUGGCCUUAACAGUUAUAUCAUCUCCUUUCUUGAGAGCCAAUAAUUCCCGAGCUCAGAAAAACUCUUGGAUGGCGCUGCAGAUGUUAAAAGUGGAAGAGAGUGUUCGAUCUCCAUCUCCAUAACUUUCCUUCACUAUUGUUGGCAAAGGAUAAUUUGGCCGCUUGCAAACAUAGCUCCUCAAUGUUGUUGCGCAUACCUACAUACCUUCUGAACCCAUUGAGAAUCUGCAGAAGGUGACUUCACCUUCUGCAUCUCCAGAAAUUUUGUUGUUGUUGGUUUCGCUGGAGCAGGAGCUAGAAGGCGCACACACAGAUUUGAGAUGACUAGCCAUGGCUGGAACGGGAGAUGGAGUCCUUUCUAUGUAUCUGGAAAUGGGAGAGAGAGAUUCGGAGAAAAGAAACUGCUGCAAUGGUGCUCGACCGGUAUGGUUUACCUCCCUAUAUAAGCAGAAGCCAUGCAGUGGCUGACCCUGCAGUCUGCGGACAGCAAGAAUCUCAUCCUUGAUGGGUUGUAGUGCUUCUGGAGUAAAAGCCACCCAUCUGGACGACAAGCUGAUGCUUUUUUAUGUUUCAUGAUCAGUGCAACUAGCAUCCCUAACAGUCUGUGUUUGAGCUUUUGAUCACCCUGUCAUGUCUCUACUAUGGGUGGCAGAGUCAUCUGCACGAGCGUGUAGUCUAUUGUCAGAUCCAGAUUGAGAUCAUGAGAUUGGCGAGUGGGGAGGGAGAUGUUGAGAGAAAGAGCUGGCGAUGAUCGGUGGUGGAGGAACAGUUGACUUCUGGGCUCGGGCACAACACAGGUGAUUGCCUAUUUGGUUGCGGGUUCUAUGAAGUAUGGAGAAAACAGGAAAUGGGCAUGUGUAAAAUACUUAGAUUGACACAAGGGAUCCUCUUAAAGGUGAACACGAUUCACAGGGAGUCAGAUUUGAUGCAUCGUUUCGCUGCAUGGUAAGAGUGCUCAGAAGAGUGACCCUGCUCUGGAUCAAUCUCCUGAAGAGAAGCUGAACUCUACUCUCAAGAUCAACAAUGUACAACUCCAACACCUGUGAAUUAGAGCCGGCAAUGCGUCAAUAAUUGUGAAUGGGAGCCGAUGAGGCUGACAUGUCUCUCACCUCAGUUGCUGCUAGCAGCGACAUCUGGAGCUGUGCACGAGCACAUACCUAUACUUCAAUGUGAGGAGACCAAGAGAUCUUCAAGUAUGCAAAUGAAAUGAUCUGGUGGUCCAUGUUGGUUGGUGAUUGCUGGUGGAAGCAACAGUUUACUCUCUUCGCCUACAGGUGCUGCAUCGUUGAAUGCGGUGCUAUAGUGGUAUCUUUUUUUUUUUUUUUUUUUUUUUUUUGCUUAGAAAGUAAAGAUGCAUGUAGAAACACGCACUUUUAUUCCGUCCAAAUGAAGGAAUGCACAAACUCAUUCUCUUGCAGCGCCACAGUGUUGCUGAAAGAUGGGGAGAAACAUAUCUGUGAAAA